rnacentral:rRNA from 1 species
GACGAACGCUGGCGGCGUGCUUAACACAUGCAAGUCGAGCGGAGCGGCGAACGGGUGAGUAACGCGUGAGUAACUGCCCCCCUCUCUGGGAUAACAGUUGGAAACGGCUGCUAAUACCGGAUAGUGGGGGCUGACUCGCGUCCUAUCAGCUUGUUGGUGGGGUAGUGGCCUACCAAGGCGAAGACGAGUAGCCGGCCUGAGAGGGCGACCGGCCACAUUGGGCUGGGAUACGUGCCAAACUCCUACGGGAGGCAGGAAGGGGGAAUAUUGCACAAUGGGGGGAACGCGGAUGCAGCAACGCCGCGUUCGGGAUGACUGUCUUCGGGUUGUAAACCGCUUUCAGCCAUUACGCGGUAGUGGCAUAAGAAGCACCGGCUAACUACGUGCCAGCAGCCGCGGUAAUAC